UGCGCUUACUAUAUAAUUCGACGAAACUUCAGUCAAGAUCUACAACUACAUUCUGCGCGUCAAGAUGAAGAUUGUUUACAUUUUCGCUUUCCUGUGCAUCAGUGGACUUUUUAUUGGCUGUAUGGCGGGUAAUGGCGGCUAUACUAUUGAUGAUGUAUUUGGUGAGGUCAAAAUCAAUCAAGGUCUGAUCAAAGAUGUACUAGCUGGUCUUAAAGAUAUAAAGGCUUGUUGUUGUGAAACCGAAGAUAACGACCCUAAAUAAAGUCAAUGGCAGCCUCAAGUUGAAAAGGUCAUAUUCCAAAUAUCGGACUAACAAAACAGAACAGAACUGAAAUCAUAAUUAGCCUUAUGCAUAUAUAGCACAUUGAAAUAAACUAUUAUUAAUUAAGGAAUCAUAAUUACAAUUGUGGCAGAGUUAAAAAUAAUGAUAAUAAAUCAAUAGCAUAUGAACAAUCAAAUAUAAAAUUCUACUGAUUUAUAUCUGAACGUUUUGGAAAAAAAGAGAUGACCGAUGACGUACUUUACUUUACCGGCAUUAACACCCCCCACCCCCACGCUUUUGUGCACAUUUAUAUUACCAUUGUAUAUGCUAUGAAUUGCAAUAUAGCCAUAUAGCCGCAUCUGCAGGAAUAAAAUCCAUUUAUUAAUAUAUAUAUUUUCUGUGCAUUUAAAGUUUUAACCGUGGUAUAAGUGUAAAAACGUACAAAGAACAAACUUGCACAGAUUUUGGUAUAAAAGUAAUCAAAAAGAGCUAAGAGAGGAAAUAACUAGAAACAUUUUUUACAAUAUUUAAAUACUUAAAGUCUCAUACAAGACACGCGUUUUAAUCAAAUAUAUAUGCUGUGCUUUUUUUUAAUUAAUCAUCUUAUUGGUAAAGUUUAAGGGGAAGUAAUGAUUAAUGUACAAACAAGGCUUGCGUAACAUUUCUUCUUACGCAGCACUUGAUAUUUUGCCGGCACCGUUUAUAUUACGUAACGUGCAUUCCUGAGUAUCCAAAUUUUUAAUAAAGUCAUUAUUCAUUUUACGACCUCAUCCUUGCAGUGUUACAAGAACUUUAUAUACAAUGUUCUGUUUUUAUCAAAAAUACAAGUAUCCUAAGGGAAGGAAUGUGCAUAUAUCUAAUUAAAAUGGUCCUUUCUGUAUGUGCACAGGGCUAGCCGGGAAAUGCAUCUUUCAAGCAGAUUCUACGUAUCUAAAAUGAGACUUCCUCUGCUAUUAGGGUGGUCCGCCUCAGAGUACUCGCAUUAUUACCUCCCCUUGAAUACGCACCCGACGGUAACACGAGUUCAUACCCUUGUCACUCACUAUAUAUAUAUAUAAUUAGCAAUUAAAAUGAAAUUGCAAUAAGCAAAAGAAUUUCAGAGGCUGCAAACCAUGUAUAAUUUAGAAAAUACAUAUACUACAUCCGGUUCAUUUACUGCAACGCAUGUAACCUUGCUGGAUCAGGAAUUGAAGACCAGUUAGUAAUAUUAGGAUAUUAUUUGACAGCUGACAUGUCCAAUUACUUAAUUCGCUAAUGGAUAUGAAUAUACUUAAUGUAUAAAAAUGUAAACAAUAUCAUGUUACAAGAAUGUAUACUUACAAGAAAUUGAAUUUAAACCAUGUAUGUUGAUGUUGUUGUUUCCAAUCUUUUGUCGGUAAAAUUAUGUUUAGAUGAAUACUUUAACAAAGUCUGUACAACAAUAGGUUGCUACAAGUGAAUGCCAAAAUAGAACAUUCGAUGAGGGCAAUAACAUACAGAUCAUUUUUGUGUUUUAUGUACCAAGAAUAUUUAAAUACUUUUAAUAUUAAAAAGUUCAGAGUAAAAGUUUAGUGAUUUAUAUAGCAAAGACUUAUAAAAAAAAGAGAUGCUAUUUCAAUGAUAUUAACCAUCACCAAUAACUUGUAUAUGAUAUAUUGUUGUUUAGCAUAUAUAAUUCUAAUACAGCCUGUACGAAUAAAAUCUCUCACUAUA
rnacentral:lncRNA from 1 species